UUAAGUCUACUACUUUCCUUAUUAACUUCUCUCUAAAUACUGGUGCUCUCAUAACGAUAGACAAGCAGACUCAAGGGGAUGGUGCACCUAGCAACUGCUGUCUCACUUGUUUCAACUACAUUUAUGCAUUUCUUAAUGAAGACAAAAGCCCUGAAAGUGCUUAUCAAUGAGGUUAAAGCCUUAUGAACUACCUGAUUUCUUCCUUUAGUCUAACUGAAGUUCCUUCCCUUUAGUACUCCUUUACUUUAGUGACCUGGUAUCUAGAAGACAGUAAAAUUGUUUGCUAUAAUUUCUUAGGCUGAGCUUUUGUAAACAAAGGACUCUCAAUGAGAACCUGCUCCCCAGUGAUCAUCAGAUAGUGAUGUUAAAUUUUGA